UGCUACAGAAACAAAGUGAGGUCACGAACACCUAAGACGCCAGCACCAACUCCUCCUUCCGGACAACGUGAGGCUCUUAGCAUCAGCCAAGACAUGGAAGCAACCUAAACGUCCAUUGACAGAUGAAUGGAUAAAGAAGAUGUGGUACAUAUAUACAGUGGAAUGUUACUCAGCCAUACAAGAGAAUGAAAUAAUGCCAUUUGCAGCAACAUGGAUGGACCUGGAGAUUAUCAUACUAAGUGAAGCCCACACACCCGAUGAGACCUGCUCACCCCAGGACCUGAUUAAGAAGCCCUAUCGUAAAGCGACGGAAUGAAGGUGCUGCUCAGAUGUCUCUCAGAAACAGGAAAUGGGAGGCCUGAGAGAGUAGAUUUUGUGCAUCCUUCUUGCUUUGGAGUAUGCUGCCAGAGCCGCCUUUAAGAGCAACAUGAUUUAAAGUGACUGCAGGGAAGACUUAGGAGUGAGGUGCUGAAACUAACCCUGCCGGUGAUCAUUGGAAGGUAAGUUAAGAAACACUUCAGUAGCAAAAGUAGGAGCAAAGCAAAUGAAAAAUUAGUAUAAUACGCUAGUAAUCACCAGCCUUCACCCAUCAGGUCUCAUUUAUGAGCACAAUGCCCUUCCAGGAGGCAGUGGCCCACGAACGGCUGAAAUGCACGGAAGGCCCCGAGUAAAGCCGGAGAGAAUGGACCUGCUACAGCUGUGCUGUGCGCAGGGAUGCGGGGGCAAGUGAUGCUGUGAGCAAGUCCCGCCCCGGGAAGCCGGCAUCAAACCUGCGAGCGCUGAGGCCAGAGCUGCCUCCCAAACACCAGCACAAGCCCGCGCGGGGCGUGGACCCGCCCGCUGCCGCUUGCCGUGUCCUGCUCCUCCGGUGGCCUCACUGGCAUGUCCUCCCCGGCGCCCCUGGCCCUCCAGGACCCCCUGAGCAAGGCCCGGGGGCCGGCCGGCCCAAUCACCGGCCCCUUCUGUAGCCACAUGUG